rnacentral:rRNA from 1 species
GACGAACGCUGGCGGCGUGCUUAAUACAUGCAAGUCGAACGGAAAGGCCCUGCUUUUGUGGGGUGCUCGAGUGGCGAACGGGUGAGUAACACGUGAGUAACCUGCCCUUGACUUUGGGAUAACUUCAGGAAACUGGGGCUAAUACCGGAUAGGAGCUCCUGCUGCAUGGUGGGGGUUGGAAAGUUUCGGCGGUUGGGGAUGGACUCGCGGCUUAUCAGCUUGUUGGUGGGGUAGUGGCUUACCAAGGCUUUGACGGGUAGCCGGCCUGAGAGGGUGACCGGCCACAUUGGGACUGAGAUACGGCCCAGACUCCUACGGGAGGCAGCAGUGGGGAAUAUUGCACAAUGGGCGGAAGCCUGAUGCAGCAACGCCGCGUGCGGGAUGACGGCCUUCGGGUUGUAAACCGCUUUCGCCUGUGACGAAGCGUGAGUGACGGUAAUGGGUAAAGAAGCACCGGCUAACUACGUGCCAGCAGCCGCGGUGAUACGUAGGGUGCGAGCGUUGUCCGGAUUUAUUGGGCGUAAAGGGCUCGUAGGUGGUUGAUCGCGUCGGAAGUGUAAUCUCGGGGCUUAACCCUGAGCGUGCUUUCGAUACGGGUUGACUUGAGGAAGGUAGGGGAGAAUGGAAUUCCUGGUGGAGCGGUGGAAUGCGCAGAUAUCAGGAGGAACACCAGUGGCGAAGGCGGUUCUCUGGGCCUUUCCUGACGCUGAGGAGCGAAAGCGUGGGGAGCGAACAGGCUUAGAUACCCUGGUAGUCCACGCUGUAAACGGUGGGUACUAGGUGUGGGGUCCAUUCCACGGGUUCCGUGCCGUAGCUAACGCUUUAAGUACCCCGCCUGGGGAGUACGGCCGCAAGGCUAAAACUCAAAGGAAUUGACGGGGCCCCGCACAAGCGGCGGAGCAUGCGGAUUAAUUCGAUGCAACGCGUAGAACCUUACCUGGGUUUGACAUGGAUCGGGAGUGCUCAGAGAUGGGUGUGCCUCUUUUGGGGUCGGUUCACAGGUGGUGCAUGCCUGUCGUCAGCUCGUGUCGUGAGAUGUUGGGUUAAGUCCCGCAACGAGCGCAACCCUUGUUCACUGUUGCCAGCACGUUAUGGUGGGGACUCAGUGGAGACCGCCGGGGUCAACUCGGAGGAAGGUGGGGAUGACGUCAAGUCAUCAUGCCCCUUAUGUCCAGGGCUUCACGCAUGCUACAAUGGCUGGUACAGAGAGUGGCGAGCCUGUGAGGGUGAGCGAAUCUCGGAAAGCCGGUCUCAGUUCGGAUUGGGGUCUGCAACUCGACCUCAUGAAGUCGGAGUCGCUAGUAAUCGCAGAUCAGCAACGCUGCGGUGAAUACGUUCCCGGG